UUCACCUAUUAUUCUCUCUAAACCCUAACCGACAACUUCAUCUCCUACAUCAGAUCCAUCAUCAUGUAUUCAUCUUCUUCAUUCGUCCUGUAAAUCAAACAAUCCUUAUUUUUCCUUAAUCCUCUGCAUUCCUUCGGAUCGACAAGCAGGCACAGGGCGGCGGCUAGGGUUCCACCACCACAUAAAGCUGACACUUCUCUCUCAUUGUUAUUGUUUUACCAUACCCGGAUUUUGACCCGACUACAUAAACUCCUUAAUUAACCUAAUUACUCAUUCGCCUCAUUCAACAAUGCUGCUGUGCAAAACACGAUCUUUGUUUUAGCCGUUCGUGAUGACUAAAAAGGUUCUCGGUGAUGGCGAGGGUUCGUAUGGUCUAGAAUGGCGAUGGUCUAACAACGAGC